rnacentral:rRNA from 1 species
GAUGAACGCUGGCGGCGUGCCUAAUACAUGCAAGUCGAGCGAACAGAUGAGGAGCUUGCUCCUCUGACGUUAGCGGCGGACGGGUGAGUAACACGUGGAUAACCUACCUAUAAGACUGGGAUAACUUCGGGAAACCGGAGCUAAUACCGGAUAAUAUAUUGAACCGCUUGGUUCAAUAGUGAAAGACGGAUUUGCUGUCACUUAUAGAUGGAUCCGCGCCGCAUUAGCUAGUUGGUAAGGUAACGGCUUACCAAGGCAACGAUGCGUAGCCGACCUGAGACGAUGAGCGGUCACACUGGAACUGAGACACGGUCCAGACUCCUACGGGAGGCAGCAGUGGGGAAUUUUGGACAAGGGGCGAAAGCAUGAUCCAGCCAUGCCGCGUGUGUGAAGAAGGUCUUCGGAUUGUAAAGCACGUUAAGUUGGGAGGAAGGGCAGGAAGUUAAUACCUUGCUGGUUUGACGUUACCAACAGAAAAAGCACCGGCUAACUUCGUG